rnacentral:lncRNA from 1 species
ACAGAUGACCAUUUUCACGUCCAAAUAGAGCAAGAAAUAAUCCUCUCUUCUCCUUCCCAGUGCUGAAACAGGGGAGACCUUUUUCCAGCCGUUGAUUUCGAAUCCUUCCCAUCCGUCCUCGUUUCAAAGCAACAGGAGCUCGUGCAGCCAGCGACCGAGUAGAAGACCAAAUCCUCUUCAUCCGGAUCGAUUUCCAGCUCCAAGCUUGUGAUUCAGCCCCCACCGUGUCCAUGCCACGCCCAGCUUCCGUUCCAACCUCCCAGCAGCCGAGAUUCACGUCCUCCGAUCAGCCCGUUCCAGCCGCAUCCAACGUCCCAGCCAUCCACGAAGCAUCCGGAGCCAUAGAUCCAGCCACCUUCUUCUUCAGCCCUCCCGCAUCCGCACCGUAUCUCUUCCACGAUCGGCUCCUCCCAGUGGUCCCGCGGCAUCCGAAGCCAUGAUCCCAGCAUCCAGCCUUCCAUUCCACCCUCUCGCUUCCAAUCCGGCGUCCACGAAGCUUCCGGUGAUUCCGCGUCUCCUCCGGAUUCACCAAGCAUCUGCAAUCAAGCCCAUGAUCCAAGCCAUCCUCCAGCCGGAUUCACGUCUUCCUCCAAGCGAUCCCGCGGUCAGCUCCAUCGAUCCAGCCGAUCCCGAGUAUUCCGCCUCAACGAUCACGCAUGCGUUCUUCCUCCUCUCCACGUGAAAUCAUGGGUCCAUCGCUGGCUGAUCUUUGGUGGGGAUCUAUAAAAGGAGGAAGGGAGCUCCCGGUUGGGGGUGGGCCAAAGAACAGGGGAGAAGAUAGCUCGGUGGAGGAGAGGGAGGGGAGAGCUCUGUUUCCAAAGGGAAGAAAGAAAGAAAAUGAAGAAAACAGAGCUUGCUCUGUUUUGAAGAGAAAGGAAGAAAAAAUAAAAAAUAAAAAAAUAGAGAGGGUUUGAGGCGGAUGGCAGAGGAGUUCUUCAGCAAACCAAUGGAGAUAACGGAAGCCAUGCGUAGCUAAAUAUCUAAUCUAGGGCUGGAUGAAGCCCUAGCAAUGUAACAGGGCAUUUGUAGUUCUUACUCUUUUAAUUUUUUGGAGCUCGUUUAAAUUCUUAUUAUCAAUGAAAAAUUCUUAUAUGAUGUUUAAACUUUGAG